rnacentral:lncRNA from 1 species
GCUGCUACAUGUAGGCUGCAGGUGUCUGCUCUCUAUGAAGUGAAUGGAAAGCAGAGGAUGCAGGCUGGGGUCUGGAUGGUGAUGUGCUGCUGCUCCAGGAAAGACCAGCAUGUACGUGGCUGCCAUGGAUCUGAGCCCAAGCAGGAGAAGCAGCCUGAGCCUGCAGAGAGCUGGGAGCAGGGCAAUGGGCUGGAGGUUUGGCACUGGUCUGUACUGCCUGCUGAGAAGGAAAUUCAUCUGCAAAGAACUGAGAAAUAGCAGCUGGGUGACAAUGGUUCCAGAGCUGCCGUGGAAGGGCAGGGAGUGAUAUGAGGAACACUGCAUGGAGCCUUUUGUUAGAUGCAACAUCAAAGCAAGGUGCUACAAGAAACAGAAGAAUCAUUAUAUGUGACCAAAGGUUUUAUGUGGAUCAGGCUCAGCUGGUAUCCCCAAAGGCUGGUGGCUCUUCUGGAGACCGUCGGCUGGCCGUGUCAGCCCAGCUGAUUCCCUCAAGGAGUCUCUGUCCCCGCAUUAGGAGGAGGGAACAGAAAGAACACUGUGAUGGAACCAUCCCACGAUGUUUGUAGUACAUCCUACUGCUCUUUUUAUUAUUUUUUUUCUGACAGAGGGUGAUAUAUCCAAAUUGUCUUUUGUCAAACCAUAAUUAUUUCUCUAGUUCAUCAUUUUGUAUUUGUGAAGCUAUUUACAGCCUUCCCUUUCACUUGCUUUUGUCUAAAUGUAUUUUAGAGCUGCUUGAAAGGGUUAAGAAGGGACAUAUCCUUUUGGGAGAAAUGCAGGGAUGCAUCCCAGACUCUUCUUUUUCUUUCCUUUCUGACAUAGUCAUGCACAAUUUUAACUCUAAUAGCUGGUCAUUGUGGACAGAGUGAAAACAUGCAAAGAGGGACAAAAUAAACAUGCUGCAAACCCAGGUCUUUCUGACUAGAUUACUUAAUAUGGCCCUAUGAGAUAACAGCAGUGUGAGAGUAAGACAUAAGACAUACAGGGCACCAACAGUUCAGCAGGAGCAAGCAUGUAUUUCAGUAUGCUCAGAGUACUGACCUGGGAACCUGCAGCCUGCCUUGCUUUAAGCAGUUCUCUGGGUGAUUUAAUUUAGAGUUGUAUUACAUUCCUCAGUUCCUCAUUUGUGUCUCUCUCAGUGAUAAUUUUCAUCCCGCCAUGAAACAAUUUGAACUUCUGCUUUCCUGGGGAAUGAAGUCAACAGACUCUAUGAAUGUAUCACUGUACACAUUAAAUGAAUUUUCACUUUAGGACUGCACAAGAACUUCCAGAUUAGAGAUCCUUGUGCAAGGUGGGGGGAGUGAGCUACAGCAUGGUCACUGAUACGUAAAGCAGUGAGAUACAGAAGUCUCUUCUCACUGGGUUAAAUCUUAACUCUAUGUUCCUCCAUUACAGUGCCUUGGAAUAGCCCCGGCAUCUUCAAAGGUGCUGGAAGGAGACAGAUGUGUUCAUUUGGUGCCACUGGGUGUCUCACUGCACACCUUUCAUUGUCAGCCAGCUUUCAGCUCUGGGGUCUUACAGGUAGAACUGAAGUAUGGCCGUCAGGUCAGUGCUGUCCAGCUUGUAAGGAAGGAGAAGUGCAGUUUCUAGAAAUGACACGAACAGUUUGUUAUUUUCUUGAUGCGGUUUGCCUGCCAACUAGCGAGGGUUGGAUGUGUCCCCCCAUCUCAGAGCUAGCUGUUAGGAGGUGAUGGAAAUGCUGAUUCCCUGUCAGAGGCUACCAGGCAAGUUCUGCUCGCUGCUUCGUUAGAGAAAAAUACAUCAGGACUGCAGUGAGAUCAGCAAACUCUGUCUAGAUUUACAUUUGUGAUAGAAUUUGGCCCAAAGAGACUGAAAAGAAAGGAGGUAUCACUUAUUUCACUGAAUACAGCUGUUGUUCUCUGUUCAGGAGAAUAUCUUAACCAGGCUCCAUAUAGUAUCACCUGCGCUCUAUGACUAAUUUCUACAGCAAUAGCAAUUUAAUACUGUAGCAAUUUAUUGACUGAGAAAGAAGGAAAUUGCUUGGUUGAAUAAUGGACAGAAGAACAAACCCAGGAGGUGCGUGGCAAUUUUCAUUGACCAAAGGAGUACAAACUGUAAUGCAAUGAACAAAGUUCCUUCGAGAGCAAUAAAUAAGGAGCUUAAUACAUCACUCGCAGGUACGAGAUGCUCAAUCUUUGUAAGACAUUGUUUUUGUCUGCUUGGGAGCCAGGUUCCUGACAUAACCAUUACUUGCACAGCCUCGAGCCAUCAAUUUGCAAAUAACACAGAAAUGAUGCUAUUGCAGUGCUUCUGCUAAUUUCAUCGCCGUACCAUUGCUGUGCUGAAGUGGGGGGAGAAAGCAGUCAAAACACAUGAAUUGUUCUUAAAAACAAUUAAAAGGAGCGGGCUGCUUGUGUGUUUUGUUGCCGGGGUUCUUUUAAUGUUGGUCAACUCGUACUAAGUGGAAAUGGUUUGUGCACUCCUUCAGGUCUGCAGUUCUCACAGUACAGAGGUUACAUGGCAGUUCAUUUACAUCUGUUCUGAGGAAUGUAGAAUGGAAUAUGAAAAAUGGCCCAGCCCUGCUCAGCUUUUUGAGGACCCUUUCAGAAGCACAUCUGAAUGAAUCCAUUAAUUGAGCCUCCGAAAUGCGGCACUGAAUAACGAGCCCGUCAUUGCAGCUUUUCUGUGCUCGAACAGGCAGGCUGCUCGAUUCUCUCCUGAGAUGAGGAGGGAACUGCCUUCCCUUCAUUCAUUUUCCUCUGCUGUGGGAGAUG